AGUCAGGAAGAGCUCAAAAUUCCAAGCUGUUAUUAUGACCCCACAGGGGGCCUCUGACAUCCCCGUGAGCCAGCACUGUGCAUGGGGAAACAUGAAGCAACAUUUGGGCCUAGAACCUCACUGCUGCCAGGCUCGGAAGCCCAGGGAUCUGGCAGGUCUGAGCACAACAGCAGCUCAGGCCCGUCUGUGCGUCCUGAGCUGCCCUGUCCCUCAGCUCUCUUUUACAGAAGAACUGAGGCCCAGAGAAGCUCAGUCAUGUCCCCUGAAGUCACACUGCUGGGUUCUGAGGAUUUGAGCCCAGAUUCUCUUGGUUCUGGGGCCUGAAUACAUGAUUGCAUGGAGCACUCUCCAUCUAGCCUGCAAGACUCAAGGAAAUUCAUGUCCAGUGAGGGAGCUUCGAGUCCCGGUAGUGAGGAGCUCUCUGGAGCAGGAUACUGACCCCAUAGACUUCAUAUGGCUUCACAGCUGCUGGCACCUGCAGCCUCUCCUCCCUGAGUAAGAGAGGAGCAUGGAAAACAGUAUGGCAGGUCCUCAAAAAAUUCAAAAUAGAGCUACCAUGAGAUUCAUCAAUCCCACUUCUAGGUAUGUAUCAAGGGAAACAAAAUCAAGAUCUCAAAGAGAUAUCUGCACUUCCCUGUUCAUUGCAGCAUUAUUUAUGACAGCCAACAUAUGGGAACAACCCAAGUGCCCUUCAAGAGAUGAGUGGAUAAAGAAAAUGUGGUCUAUACGUACAUAACUCAACCUUUGAAAAAAAGGAAAUCCUACCCUUUGCGAAAACAUAGAAGAACCUGGAGGACAUUGUACUAAGUGAAGUAAGACAGACACAGAAAGAGAAAUACUGCAUGAUACUUUAAUGUAUGUGGAAUCUAAAAUAGUCAAA